AUGAACGCUGGCGGCGUGCCUAAUACAUGCAAGUCGAGCGAACGGACGAGAAGCUUGCUUCUCUGAUGUUAGCGGCGGACGGGUGAGUAACACGUGGAUAUCCUACCUAUAAGACUGGGAUAACUUCGGGAAACCGGAGCUAAUACCGGAUAAUAUUUUGAACCGCAUGGUUCAAAAGUGAAAGACGGUCUUGCUGUCACUUAUAGAUGGAUCCGCGCUGCAUUAGCUAGUUGGUAAGGUAACGGCUUACCAAGGCAACGAUGCAUAGCCGACCUGAGAGGGUGAUCGGCCACACUGGAACUGAGACACGGUCCAGACUCCUACGGGAGGCAGCAGUAGGGAAUCUUCCGCAAUGGGCGAAAGCCUGACGGAGCAACGCCGCGUGAGUGAUGAAGGUCUUCGGAUCGUAAAACUCUGUUAUUAGGGAAGAACAUAUGUGUAAGUAACUGUGCACAUCUUGACGGUACCUAAUCAGAAAGCCACGGCUAACUACGUG
rnacentral:rRNA from 1 species